CCUCCAUUCUCUCUCCCCAAACCUGAAACCCUAAAGGUUAAUGUUGCAUGCAUGUGAUCUAAUAGCCAUGCAUGACUUUGAUCUUGUGUUCUAGGGUUCAUGAGAGGCUUGUACGGGUAGUACCUCAAGGAUUUAGCACUAUGGUGAUCUAGUGAUGGCAAGUUUUGAGAGUUUAGAGCACUAAGGGAAGGUUUUGAAGAGCUAAGGAACACAUCUCCAAACUAGGGCUUUGAAAGGUAAGUGCAAAAGCAAAAUGGAGCAGUGAGCGCCGGAGUCUGCUUGUGGAUAUGUACAUGUGGCUUGACCUGGGGGAGGUUUUUGAUGGAUCACCAUUUUGAAAAGAAAGAGCUGGAAGUUUGUUAUUUCUUUUGGAAUAAUUUUUUUGACAUAACUCUGUGGAAGAGAAGUUGUAUUUCUGCUUGCUAAACUAAAAGUGUGCGCACACGACAUUUUGAAUUAUUUUUUUAUAUGGAUUUUGGUUCAAUGAUUUAAAGUAAAAGUUUAGAUU